GUUAAUGGAAAUCUGCCGGCGUGCCUUCAUCAGAUGAAAAGUUCAAUGGGUGUUAACUUAGCCUUUCCUCCUACAGGUGGGAUCCUCAAACCGGC